GUAGAAACCCAAAGAAGGAAAUUUGGAAGGCUUUCGUGUUUUUCGCCAUUUUAACCUAACAAAAGUAACAUAGAAAGAUAAAGGGCACCUUGAAAAGGAAAGGACUUUGAAGUCCUAAGAUUGUUUCCCCACAACAACUAACUAAAUUCUCCAAAGUCGUCAGGGUGACGUUCCGGCGUUAACGUCACACAAUCCUAUCCUAGAUAGAAAAGAAAACGAAGAGCGCCGAAAACAUUUCAAAUGAAAUGGAAGAAAGCAACCAGAAUGAAAUCCAAAUCCAAAUCCGAACCCUAACCGGCGAAUCUAUCAUUCUUCACAUCACUCCCUCUGCCACCGUCCAACACCUCAAGCUUCUACUCAACAACUCUUUCCCUCCCGCCACCAAUUCCCCCAAUUUCCAUCUCUUUUUCAAGGGCAAUAAAUUGCAAUUGCAUGAUGAAAUUGGUUCUUAUAUAAUUCAAUCUGGGGAGUCUCUCGUCUUGAUUCCAUUUGCCAAGAAGGAACUAACUCAAUCGGACAAACCGGAUUCAGUUUUCUCUUCUCCAAAUGUUGCUUGCAAUGCUUCAACCUCUAAUCUCGCGGAUACAAUGUGGUCUAGUAUAAUGGAAGAUUUGUCUGAAUUACGCGAAACCGCUGAAAAAAUUGAUGAUAAUAAUGUAUCCAAUUUGGAAAGGAAUAAAGAGAGAACUGCGGAGGUUGAAAUCAAAAGGGGUUUGGGUUCUGAGAAAGAGAUAGAGCUUCCUUAUCAUUUGAUAUUCAAUACAUUGGAUUGCACUAAUGAGAGUGCUCUUGGAGAGAGUAAUUGUGAGGUUUUUUCUAAGGUUUUGGACUCAGUGAAUUGUUUAUCUGAUUUGCCUCUUGGACAUUGCAAGUUGUUCAAGAGAGCAUGUUUGACGAAGCGAACUUCUGGCAAUGAUGGUGGUGGUGUUACUUGCUUGUGUCCACCGUGGUUGAAGACGGUUGUGAAGUCGUUUGCUUUCGUAAAUAUUUUUUCCGCAUUUCUUCAUUUGCAGGGUAGAAAGGUCACCACGAGUCUACUGGAAGAAGGACUUGACCAGUUUUCCAAGUUUGGAGUCAAACUUGGUCUCCAUGAGAUGAAGCAUCUUUCCCUUCUUUGUCCUCAUCUAGUAAGUUUUGUAGAUGACAUAGAAAAGGCGAGUUUUGGUGAUGUCAUUAUUGUAGUAAAUCAUUCAACUAGCAAUGAAGAUCAAAUUGAAGAUCCUAAAAGAGCUCGCAAGUCAUUGUAUAUUUCAAAGAUUGUCAGUACAUUAAAGCGAAGGGACAGUUCUUUCCGAAAAUAUCUGGGGUGGGCUUUUGAGCAGAUUCAGUUUGAAAUUGGAGAUGAGAUGAACGUGAGAAUUUCUUUCGAAGAACUGCUCGCAGCAGUCGAGGACUGUGAUUUUACCAGAAAAGGAAACAAAUCAAAACGUGUAAAGAGAAGCUCAACUUCCUCAAGACCUGACAUGGAUCACUUUGGGUGUCAUGACACAAAGUCAUUAAUGGCUGUGGACAUGGUUGAACAUCUUAAGAAAGGAAUUGGAUCUGAAGGACAGAUUGUGCAUAUUGAAGACAUAUGUGCCAGAAAAGCCAUUUACAGUGAGAUCCCAGCUGAACUAUCAGAGAAAACGAGAUCUGCACUAAAGUAUAUUGGAGUUUCCAAAAUGUAUAAUCACCAGGCAGAAUCUAUACAAGCCUCCCUUCUCGGGAAGAAUGUUGUUGUGGCUACAAUGACAUCUAGUGGAAAAUCUCUUUGCUACAACCUGCCUGUUCUAGAAGAGUUGUUUGAGAAUUCAUCAUCAUGUGCUUUGUACAUAUUUCCUACAAAGGCAUUAGCUCAAGAUCAAUUAAGAUCUUUGUUACACAUGACGAAAGAAUUUGAUGUUGACUUGAAUAUUGGUAUAUAUGAUGGUGACACUUCUCAUAGUGAAAGGACUUGGCUACGUGAUAAUUCUAGACUGCUAAUCACAAAUCCAGAUAUGUUACACAUAUCAAUCUUGCCCCACCAUCGGCUAUUUAGUCGGAUUUUAUCGAAUCUAAGGUUUCUGGUAAUUGAUGAAACUCAUACCUACAAGGGAGCAUUUGGAUGUCAUACCGCUCUUAUAUUAAGGAGGCUUAGGCGACUCUGCUCACAUGUAUAUGGAGCUGUUCCUUCGUUUAUUUUUUCUACUGCAACUUCUGCGAAUCCUCAUGAGCAUUCUAUGGAACUUGCAAAUUUACCCAAAGUGGAGUUAUUUCAGAAAGAUGGGAGUCCAUCUGCAAGAAAACUUUUCAUCCUUUGGAAUCCUGUUUUGCGCCCAAAAACUAUAUUCAAUAAAGCUCGGUUUGCUAUGGAUAAUGAUGAGUUGGCAGAUGAAAGUGCUAAUUUUGUUCGUUCAAGCCCAAUCGUGGAUGUUUCCCGCCUUCUUGCAGAAAUGGUUCAGCACGGUCUUCGCUGCAUUGCAUUUUGUAAAUCACGGAAACUUUGCGAGCUGGUUUUAUCCUAUGCACGUGAGAUUCUUCAGGAGACAGCCCCACAUCUCCUGGAUUCCAUAUGUGCAUAUCGUGGUGGCUACAUUGCAGAGGAAAGAAGAAAAAUAGAGAGUGCAUUUUUUGGUGGUAAAAUUUGUGGUGUUGCUGCAACUAAUGCUCUUGAAUUGGGCAUUGAUGUUGGAGAAAUUGAUGUCACUCUGCAUCUAGGAUUUCCUGGUAGUAUUGCAAGCUUGUGGCAACAAGCCGGUAGAGGUGGGAGGCGAGCUAGACCGUCUCUUGCUAUCUAUGUUGCAUUUGGUGGACCACUUGAUCAAUACUUCAUGAACAAUCCUAGAAAACUUUUUGAAAGACCAAUUGAAUGCUGUCAUAUUGAUUCUCAAAACAAGCAGGUUCUUGAACAGCAUUUGGUCUGUGCAGCUCAUGAACACCCUCUGAGUGUGCAGUAUGAUGAGCAGUAUUUUGGUGCUUGCUUAGAGAGUUGUUUGAAUUCUCUGAAAGAUAGAGGAUACUUAUGUCCUGAUCUGUCUGAUUCUUCUAGAAUUUGGAACUAUAUUGGUCCUGAGAAAUUACCUUCACAUGCAAUCAAUAUCCGCGCAAUAGAAACUGUUAGAUAUAGUGUCAUAGAUCAGAAAAAGAAUGAAGUCCUUGAAGAGAUAGAGGAAAGCAAGGCUUUCUUUCAGGUAUACGAAGGUGCAGUGUACUUGCGUCAGGGAAAAACCUAUUUGGUUGAAAAAUUAGAUCUAUCUAGCAAAACUGCUUUCUGCAAAGAGGCUGAUCUGAAGUAUUAUACAAAGACUCGAGACUACACCGAUAUCCAUGUCAUUGGGGGUAAUAUUGCUUAUCCAGUAAUUGAUUCCACCAUGUUUACAAAAACAAAUGUCCGUGCUAAUGCAUGCCAAGUGGCAACUACUUGGUUUGGAUUUUAUCGUAUUUGGAGAGGAAGCAAUCAAAUCAUUGAUGCAGUUGAUCUAGCACUUCCUCAAUAUUCAUACGAGUCCCAGGCAGUCUGGGUACCAGUGCCACAGUCAAUAAAAGAAGCAGUAGUCAAGCAAAAUUAUGAUUUCCGUGGAGGUUUGCAUGCUGCUUCACAUGCUGUUUUACACGUAGUGCCUUUACAUAUAGUGUGCAACUUGUCUGAUCUGGCUCCUGAGUGUCCAAAUCCUCAUGACAGCCGAUAUUAUCCUGAAAGAAUCUUAAUAUAUGAUCAAAAUCCUGGAGGGUCUGGAAUUUCAGUACAGGCUCAACCCCAUUUCUCAAAGUUCCUGACAGCUGCUCUGGAAGUGCUCACAUGUUGCCGCUGUUCGGCUGAAGUUGGUUGCCCUAAUUGUGUUCAGAGCUUUGCUUGCCACGAGUAUAACGAAGUUCUGCACAAGGAUGCGGCCAUUAUGAUCAUCAAGGGUAUUCUAGAUGCAGAGAACUAGUACUCUAAGGAAUGUGCUGGUUAUUUUCAAGUCUACAUAAAGAAAUUAAUUUUCUUUUCAAAAUUCGGUAUUUUGCGCAAGGACCGAUACUCAACUCCAAUUUCACCGUCCACUCUUUUGAGCCGCUGUUCAACAUCAAACCUAAAGGAUAACAAGCAAGAUUGAAAUCAAUUACUGAUAUGGAUUUGAAAGAUGGAGCAGUAGAAUUGUAACAACAGGUUAGGAGUCAACAAUAAAUAAUAUAUAUUAUUUUAGUUCAUAAAUAAGUUAAUUCAAAUGGUCCUGAGUAUAGUUUAUUUUUAUUUACUGUAAUGUAUAAAUCACCCCCUUUUUCUAAAAGAAUGUCCAGGUUCAUCAAA